AGAACGAACGCUGGCGGCAGGCUUAACACAUGCAAGUCGAGCGCUCGCAGCAAUGCGGGAGCGGCAGACGGGUGAGUAACGCGUGGGAACAUACCCUUCGGUUCGGAAUAGCUCAGGGAAACUUGAAUUAAUACCGGAUACGGCCAGAAGUGAAAAUUUCUGGCGAAAGAUUUAUCGCCGAAGGAUUGGCCCGCGUUCGAUUAGCUAGUUGGUGAGGUAACGGCUCACCAAGGCGACGAUCGAUAGCUGGUCUGAGAGGAUGAUCAGCCACAUUGGGACUGAGACACGGCCCAAACUCCUACGGGAGGCAGCAGUGGGGAAUAUUGGACAAUGGGCGCAAGCCUGAUCCAGCCAUGCCGCGUGAGUGAUGACGGCCUUAGGGUUGUAAAGCUCUUUCGCUAGGGACGAUAAUGACGGUACCUAGACAAGAAGCCCCGGCUAACUUCGCGCCAGCAGCCGCGGUAA
rnacentral:rRNA from 1 species